CCUGCACCUAGAGGUGUUGCAGAUGCGGCUGCAGUGCCACAUUUGUGUCAUUUGGUGGCAGAGAGGAUAAGGCUAUGUCUACGCUCAGUGUUCAAAAAUUAAUGAACACUCAGAAUGAUUAAUAGCCUGACAGU